rnacentral:lncRNA from 10 species
GCGAUUCUGAGGUGAAAUUAAGGAUGAAAAUCAUAUGAAAGAGGAAAAGGUCAGAGAAAAGAAGCAAGAGUAGGGAAAUAAAAGGCAAAAGAAAAUCACAGAAAGAGGCAGAACAAAGGCCAUCUUCACUUUGCACUUAACUCAGCUUCCUUUGCAACUCUGUCAGUGGAAGACAAGUUGGGGUAGACAGGGUACAAGGACAGCAUGGAAGAAAGAAAAAAAUGCAUCCCAUUUUUUGUUAUUUUCUCAACAGUCUCUGAAAGAAAAGAAAAAGAAGUGUAGCUCUCUGUAUCCGACAAAAUGGCGCAUAAUCAUCUGUGAAAAUUGGAGGUGAUGAUACAUCUAACAGACAAAAUAAAUUACUGUGACAAGAAAAAGCCCAGGUUUACUGAAGAAUCAAGCAAACUCUUAUCCAAUAACACUCAGGUCUGCAUGCUUCUCAAAUUGAGCUGUAACACUCACUGCUGCGGUCCAAGCCUUCAUUCUUUGAAGCCCGUGGAACCACAAACUCUUCAAUUGAUAAAAACCUUCGAUCGGAAGAGACUUCUCAUCUCAUUUCUGGGGGCCUGUCCGGGAUUUCUCUGAAGUGAAUAGAAUCCAUGAAACUGCAAGUGGUUCUACAAAUGGAGCCCCAAAUGACCACCACUAGCACCUACUAUCGAGGACCCCUAGACUGACCUACCAACCUGUUCUAACACCACGACACUGAAGAAGACUCCCCUCCUGAGGAACCCUCAACUGCAGAUCCCCUUCUGUGCCCCAGUUCAGCAGGAAGUAGCUAGAAUGAUCAUUGCCCAACUUCUCAACAGCACUUGGGCUUUCCUGUUGAGAGGGGGUACUGAGGCACUAAGUGGCUAAGUUAGCUAGACUUCCUGGGUCAACAGGGACUUCCCUAAGGGGACAUUCCUCUAAGCCAAAAUGAGUCAUAGCUGCAAGCUAAGGGAUUGAAACUUCAACCAAUCAAAGGGGACUUUCUCCUAAGCAAAAAUGAGUCACUGCUGCAAACUAAGUGAUUGAAACUUCACCCAAUCAUAUAGGGAGUUUAAGCUUUAGCUGCAGCCUGAUGUUUUUAACCAAUCAGGCCUGCCAACCCACAAGCAGAUAGAAAAUAAGCUAAUCCUAUGGGACAGAAAAAGGAAAAGGGGAGGAGUCAUAAGAGGAUAUAAGCAUAAGACACCCAAGCCAGAAACGGAAACCCUUCCGGGUCUCCUUCCACCACGUGGAAGCUUUACUUUUGCUUUUACUUUACUUUCACUUUAAUAAACCUUGGCGCUGCACACUCUUUGGGUCUGUACGUUUCUCUAAUUGAGCUGUAACACUCGCCGCUGUGGUCCACGGCUUCAUUCCUUGAAGCCUGUGAGACCACGAACCCUUCAAUUGAGAAAAACCUUCAAUCAGAAGAAGACUUCUUGUCUCAAUAUCACUUCCUUCGAAAACAUAAUUCAAGAGUUAUUCACAUCAUAGUUAUUUUUCACUCCCCGCUAAUAGCAGGAGUCACUUCCAAUAUACUAGAAUUUCAAAAAGGAACUGUAACUUAUAGUUUACAGUCAGUGUUUGUUUGAAAUGUAAAGCCUGACCAUUCAACUGCCAUGAUUGAAGCACUCUGAAAGACUUCCAUGGCCUUAGGAUAAAGUUCAUCCUCCUUUACAAGGAGCACAAGACCCUUAGAAUUCCAGACCCUGAUUUAGUCUUCAUCUUAUACGAAUGCUGCCCGGCAUGCUUCAUUUAGUUCUGCAAUAAACAGAGCAUACAGCAUGGUUGUGGAUCUCACUAGAGACCCAAAGAAAACAUCCCACAGGAAAUGAUGAAAAAUAAUAAGAGCAUUAUAUGUAUUGGAGCGUGGACCAGGCAGUUGAAGUGGAAAACACA